GCAAGUCGAACGGCAGCACGGACUUCGGUCUGGUGGCGAGUGGCGAACGGGUGAGUAAUGUAUCGGAACGUGCCUAGUAGCGGGGGAUAACUACGCGAAAGCGUAGCUAAUACCGCAUACGCCCUACGGGGGAAAGCAGGGGAUCGCAAGACCUUGCACUAUUAGAGCGGCCGAUAUCGGAUUAGCUAGUUGGUGGGGUAACGGCUCACCAAGGCGACGAUCCGUAGCUGGUUUGAGAGGACGACCAGCCACACUGGGACUGAGACACGGCCCAGACUCCUACGGGAGGCAGCAGUGGGGAAUUUUGGACAAUGGGGGAAACCCUGAUCCAGCCAUCCCGCGUGUGCGAUGAAGGCCUUCGGGUUGUAAAGCACUUUUGGCAGGAAAGAAACGUCAUGGGCUAAUACCCCGUGAAACUGACGGUACCUGCAGAAUAAGCACCGGCUAACUACGUGCCAGCAGCCGCGGUAAUACGUAGGGUGCAAGCGUUAAUCGGAAUUACUGGGCGUAAAGCGUGCGCAGGCGGUUCGGAAAGAAAGAUGUGAAAUCCCAGAGCUUAACUUUGGAACUGCAUUUUUAACUACCGAGCUAGAGUGUGUCAGAGGGAGGUG
rnacentral:rRNA from 1 species